UUGUCCUCUUCUCACCCAGAUGAAAAACUGGAGGCAACAACGAUGACGGCGAUGGCAGUAUGACACGUUCCCUCGCCCAGCAAUAAAUCUCUCAGCUGUGUAACACGAUCCCGGCGGUGUGAUACCUGCUCCAACUCAAAUACAGACCUGUUGUCUGAGACCGAGGAUGAACACAGGAAUAACUGGCCUGGACAGACAAACUGCUGUCUGUGUUUGUUUGAGACGCUGACAGAGUGCUGAAUCACUGAGGAGGAAGAAUGUCACUCCCUGCUCUCCAAAAUGAACCACUCCCAGACCCACAACAGCAUGCACACCUGAGGACAGGACACUACUGCUGCCGAUGAUGAUGAUGAUGAUGAUGAUGAUGAUGACGACGACGACGACAGUGGUGGUGGUGAUGAUGACGAUGACAUUUUCCAGUCUUGCUUCCUCUUCUCCAAAGUGAACCUCUCCCAGACCCACAACAACGUACACCUGGGGAUAUGUUAAACUUUGACCAAUGGAAUAACUGUGUUGCUACGAGAUGUGUUGUGUUGCUAAGACAGGUGAUCGAAAUACACGUUGCUAUGAGACAUGUUGCUAUGAGAAUUUUUUCUACAUUAUGUGUUGCCAUGAGAUGCCAUGCAGGUGUUUAUGGAUCACCUGAAUAAACUGGCCUCAACCUCACCUGACCCCUCACCUGACCACUCUGUGUUUAUUAUUUUGUUUUGCAUUUGGUUCCCAUGACAACCAGUUGACCAUUUCAUGAACAGGCCAGCACAGCCCGUCAACCUCCAAGCCUCAGCCAAUCAGCAGCGGGAUCAGAAGAACCAAUUGUGACACGUUAAACAUCCUGUUAGCUUAUCCUUGUGUGAAGACUGAGGCCUGCUGCUGUGACACGUUUGUUUCUGAUGUUUUUAAAAUCUUGAAACAAUAAUUAUUAUGUUCUUUCAGUGUCUUCUACAUCAUUAUUUCAUCCCUCAGUCAGCCGCAGUGAGUGAUAUAAGUCCCAAUAAUCUCUUCUGAACAGCUGUAGUCAUGACAAACAAAAAUAAAAAACACAUCAAAGAAACAAAUGUCUUGUGGAAA